rnacentral:rRNA from 1 species
CCUACGGGAGGCUGCAGUGGGGAAUAUUGCGCAAUGGGCGAAAGCCUGACGCAGCGACGCAGCGUGAGGGAUGAAGGUUCUCGGAUCGUAAACCUCUGUCAGAAGGGAAGAAAAUAUAUCAUGCUAAGCAGUUGUGUAUUGACGGUACCUUCAAAGAAAGCACCGGGUAACUCCGUGCCAGCAGCCGCGGUAAUACGGAGGGUGCGAGCGUUAAUCGGAAUUAAUGGGCGUAAAGCGAACGUAGGCUGUAUGGCAAGUCAAGGGUGAAAUGCCACGGCUCAAACGUGGAACUGCCUUUGAUACUGGCAAACUGGAGUAUGUGAGAGGGCGGCGGAAUUCCAGGUGUAGCGGUGAAAUGCGUAGAUAUCAGGAGGAACAUCAGUGGCGAAGGCAGCUGACUGGCACAAAACUGACGCUGAGGUGCGAAAGCGUGGGUAGCAAACAGGAUUAGAUACCCUUGUAGUC